rnacentral:rRNA from 1 species
GACGAACGCUGGCGGCGUGCUUAACACAUGCAAGUCGAGCGGUAAGGCCCUUUCGGGGGUACACGAGCGGCGAACGGGUGAGUAACACGUGGGUGACCUGCCCUCAGCUCUGGGAUAAGCCUGGGAAACUGGGUCUAAUACUGGAUAUGACUCCACGGUGCAUGUCGUGGGGUGGAAAGCCUUGUGCGGCUGAGGAUGGGCCCGCGGCCUAUCAGCUUGUUGGUGGGGUGAUGGCCUACCAAGGCGACGACGGGUAGCCGGCCUGAGAGGGCGACCGGCCACACUGGGACUGAGACACGGCCCAGACUCUUACGGGAGGCAGCAGUGGGGAAUCUUGCGCAAUGGGCGAAAGCCUGACGCAGCGACGCCGCGUGAGGGAUGACGGCCU